rnacentral:rRNA from 1 species
GUGAGGAAUAUUGGUCAAUGGACGGGAGUCUGAACCAGCCAAGUAGCGUGCAGGACGACGGCCCUAUGGGUUGUAAACUGCUUUUAUACGGGGAUAAAGUGAGGGACGUGUCCCUUUUUGUAGGUACCGUAUGAAUAAGGACCGGCUAAUUCCGUGCCAGCAGCCGCGGUAAUACGGAAGGUCCGGGCGUUAUCCGGAUUUAUUGGGUUUAAAGGGAGCGCAGGCGGGAGCUUAAGCGUGACGUGAAAUGUAGCCGCUCAACGGCUGAGUUGCGUCGCGAACUGGGUUUCUUGAGUGAGUACGACGCGGACGGAAUUCGUGGUGUAGCGGUGAAAUGCUUAGAUAUCACGAAGAACCCCGAUUGCGAAGGCAGUCCGCGAGUCCUUUACUGACGCUAAAGCUCGAAGGUGCGGGUAUCGAACAGG